AUAUUUGGGGGCAAAUCAAAUAGCAACGUUACCAAAUGGAAUAUUUGAUGCAUUGACGAAGCUAGAGAUACUAGACUUGGGUAACAAUAACAUAACAACGUUACCAAAUGGAAUCUUUGAUGCAUUGACGAAGCUACAGAAACUUGGAUUAUAUGGAAACCCUCUAAUUUGCAAUUGUCCAUUAGUCGACAUUGUUCUCUUGGUGAAAAGAAGACGAUUACAGUGGAUUUCCCGUCCUUCCUGUCACAGCCCUGUGACUCUAAGAAAACCAUUGCUGACGGACCUGAAACUCCAAGAAGUAAUUUGUGAUUCAGAUUUCAUCCCAGUUUCCACUGAUGCAGAAACUGUCUUUUCGACAAUAACCGGAUUUGGCAAGUAUUCAACAUGUACCAAACAUUUUGAACAAUGUAUACAACACUGAUUUGUAAAGUAGCAAUUUACAGUAUACGUCAAUGACACAUGAUGCAUGAAUUUAUCAGCAAUGAAUGACAUUGUAUCUCUUGCCGCUAACAUCAUUGAAAACAUCGAUUUGAAAUGGCUUUAAAGCUUGAAGAAUUCCAAUCCACGAGGUAAACUCCUUGUGUAGAGAUUGGAUUAUUGUCCAAUAUCUAAACUGCCCUUGGCAUCGGAAGUAAGUUUGUUAUUUUAUGUAGUUAUUUACAAAUAGUAUGACAUACCCUAUCAAUGCAUAUACAUGCGCAGACAUAUAUAUGUACAGAUACAUCUCUAAUGUUAACAAUUUGUCCCACAUACCAUUGUGUACCGUGAGUAGGAUCUAAUUUGAUGCGAUUUCGAAUGACUUUUAAACAUUACAGACAUCUGACAUCUGUCUACAUAAUCAGAUCUGUCUUGUUUGAUAUGCCGCUGAUUAAGGUGUUGUCAGUAAAACGUGGAAACAGUCAUCAUUCUCAUACAGCUGACAAUACGAGUCAACUGAAUCUUUGCAUGAUCCUGAUUAAUUGUAAAGUUGGUUUUUUUUUACCUGGGGUCAAUUUGCACAACAAUUUACUGUUAGUUAUUGUCUCAAAAGUAGCAUAUCGUCAUGUGAUUAGGAAAAAUGAUGAUACCUUUAUACAUUUCAAAUAAAUGUCCGUAAUGUAAUCUAUAUUAUAAAACAGCAACAACUUUUUUCAUUCAUGUAUUGAAAUCCAUCAAACGGACACACUGUAUAAAAUGAAAAGUGAUCAAUUAGAACAGCUCACAAAUCAAUAAAACCAUGGAAGAUUCACCAAUGCACUGCUACCUAGAGACCGUAGUAGACAUGCAUCCCUGUCUUCAGCGCUGAUGGGCCUUUAUAUCCAUAUAUUCAACUCUGGUGUGUAUUUAUAUUCCAUUUGUCAAUGAUGGUGAGUAAAACUAUUUUCUCUCUCUAUGGAAUAGGCUACUAUAUAUAAAGCAAAACAUCAUUAAUGUAACUAUGUAAAAAGUUACACGUUUACUUGUUAUGUACAAGUUCACCUUUUGUUUGGUGUCUAUAAGGUAUAAUUUUACUCGGUAUGUAUUUAUAAUGUCAUACCUUUUCUCGCUAUAUACAUCGUAUACGUUUACUUGUUAUGUUCAAGUUCUACUUUUUCUUUAGUUAUAAGUGUACUCGGUGUGUAUAAGGCAUGCGUUUACAUCGCCUAUACAAGUUAUUCGUGUAUUCUGUACGUCUGGAGAGAUGAGGGAUCGAAUAAAAAUCACAUUAUUUUCCUGUUUAUUACACUUAUUACAAUGACGACAAUAAUCGCAAACAUGGAAUCCGGUAAGUUUUCAAUAUUAUUUUAUUGUUUAUUUCUAUUAUCGUAUUUGAACAUUUCAGAAGAUCAGAAAAGAAGAUGUGACUGUUGGGUAAACAAUGGCGUGGUCUGCUGUGGUUUUUUUUUUUCUUUGGAUCGGUACCAGAUACUGACGGGCGGAUUAAAAUCCAGACACAGAUGGGAUUCGAGCAUUCUACAUUCCGCACAUAAUUCAGAAGCUCUAUCCACUACGCCGCUGGCGUUGACGACAUCUGUUGAACAUAACCUGUUUGGAAGAUACGGAAUCACUUCAAAUUCUGCUGAUUACACCAUCCCCAAAUAUAUUUCAAGGACAAUAUGUUGAGAAGGGUGUAAAAAUGAUGAAUACUGGAUAGCACGAGAUAAGCAUUAUAUCAACAGUAAGAGAAGGAGCAAUAUCGCCAUUUGAUGAUUUGCCCACUGGACAUACCACGACUGCCACUCCAGUUCACUCGGCUGUACAUUGAAUUAGUAUUGGCUUCGGCUGGAGGGAGAGCUUAGACUGUGAUGGACUGGUGUCGCACUCUGUUACUCUUAUCCGUUAACCACGUAUCAUUCCGAGGAAUGACAAUGAUGAUCAGAACUCGUCAGUACCUCCGCAACUAGUAGGAUUCAGAAGUAUUCAUAGAGUUUUUCACCCCAAUCUCAAAUGAUGUGGUUGAUGCAGAACCCGCAUUCCUUAUGGUGAACUGAAACUACUUCAAGUGAAAAGUGCCACAGGAUGACAAAACUUUCUCAUGAUGGAGACGUCAACAAUGCCGGUGAAGGGCUUCAAAAUUUAGGCCUAUGAUUGGAGCUUACAACCUUUGAGCAGGGGGUCUUUAUUCUGCCACACCUGCUGUGACACAGGGCCUCGGAUUUUGUUGUCUUAUCCGAAGGACCGCCCCAUUUAGUCGCCUCUUACGACAAGCAGGAAUACUGAGGACCUAUUCUAACCCGGAUCACGGAGGUGUAUCGUCCAUAAUCAGAUCCACAAAAAUUCCACAGGAAACCAACCAACAGGACGGACACAGAAUUGUGUACACUCGAUUUAAGAUGCAGAUAUUGAAUUUAAUUUCUAUCAAUAUGUUGAUGAGUUUAUACAUGUGAUAACUAAGUGAUGAUACACAAUAUACUGUCUGUCAUCGUAAAUAAAUGAUAACAUACGUGUUGUAAUAAUCUGUGGUCAACUGACGAGAAAAUUACGUUUUGUUUGAAUAAAAUAUUUUAUUUAGGCA